GCGCCUGUAGCUCAAUUGGAUAGAGCAUCAGCCUACGGAGCUGAGGGUUGUGGGUUCAAAUCCCUCCAGGCGUACAA
rnacentral:tRNA from 1 species